GACAGAGGAUGCAAGCGUUAUCCGGAAUGAUUGGGCGUAAAGCGUCUGUAGGUGGCUUUUAAGUCCGCCGUCAAAUCCCAGGGCUCAACCCUGGACAGGCGGUGGAAACUACCAAGCUGGAGUACGGUAGGGGCAGAGGGAAUUUCCGGUGGAGCGGUGAAAUGCGUAGAGAUCGGAAAGAACACCAACGGCAGGAACGCACUCUGCUGGGCCGACACUGACACUGAGAGACGAAAGCUAGGGGAGCGAAUGGG
rnacentral:rRNA from 1 species